rnacentral:lncRNA from 1 species
UACACCCUGCUCCCGAGUUUUAAAAUGGGAGGAAAGCAAGUGAAGAGGAAGUAAAGUUAUCUAACUUUCACUCCUUUGUGUGCUCCCGAGUUUUUUAAAGAGAUGAAAGUGAGUGAAAGUGAGUGCAAAUAUAGCAUAGUUUCACUCCAAAACUUUCACUCCAAAAGUGGGAUGAAAGUGAAAGCACACUUGCUUUCACUUGCAUUCACUUGCUUUCUCUCCUAAAAAAACUCGGGAGCAAGGCCUUAA